CUCUUCGGGGAUGAUUAAACCGGCGCACGGGUGAGUAACACGUGAGUGACCUGCCUUUUAGACUGGAACAACUUACCGAAAGGUGAGCUAAUGCCGGAUGAGUUAUAUAAGUGCAUGUUUAUAUAGGAAAAGUUGGGGAGACCUGACGCUGAAAGAUGGACUCGCGUCCCAUUAGCUAGUUGGUAGGGUAAUGGCCUACCAAGGCGACGAUGGGUAGCCGGCCUGAGAGGGUGGCCGGCCACACUGGGACUGAGACACGGCCCAGACUCCUACGGGAGGCAGCAGUGGGGAAUUUUGCGCAAUGCUCGUAAGAGUGACGCAGCGACGCCGCGUGAAUGACGAAGGCCUUCGGGUCGUAAAGUUCUUUCGACAGGGAAGAAAAUGCCUAUAAGUAACUGUGUAUGUAUUGACGGUACCUGUAUAAGCAGCCCCGGCUAACUCCGUGCCAGCAGCCGCGGUAAUACGGAGGGGGCGAGCGUUGUUCGGAGUGACUGGGCGUAAAGAGCACGUAGGCGGUGUUGUAAGUCAUUAGUCAAAGACUAGAGCUCAACUUUAGUAAGGCUAGUGAUACUAUAAUACUAGAGUAUCAGAGAGGAUUGCAGAAUUCCUGGUGUAGCGGUGAAAUGCGUAGAUAUCAGGAGGAAUACCGUUAGCGAAGGCGGCAAUCUGGCUGGAAACUGACGCUGAGGUGCGAAAGCGUGGGUAG
rnacentral:rRNA from 1 species